rnacentral:rRNA from 1 species
GCAAGUCAAGGGGUAACAGGUAUGAAGCUUGCUUUAUAUGCUGACGACCGGCGCACGGGUGAGUAACACGUAUGCAACCUACCUUUUACAGGAGAAUAACCCAGAGAAAUUUGGACUAAUACUCCAUGACAUUUGUUGAUCGCAUGAUUAACAAAUUAAAGCUCCGGCGGUAAAAGAUGGGCAUGCGUCCUAUUAGUUAGUUGGUAAGGUAACGGCUUAGCAAGGCGAUGAUAGGUAGGGGUUCUGAGAGGACAAUC